UCGUAAUACGAAUCGGUGCAAAAGGGUCCUGCCCAACGACUACUGACACGUGCUGUCGGGGCACGAACCCUUUAGCACCGGUUCAUGUUACAAA
rnacentral:pre_miRNA from 1 species